AAUCCCAAGUAUCAAUGUGACAUAAGCCUUGGGUAAAGCACAAGUAAUUGGUGUGCCCCUUGGGCAAGGUUUAUGUGAGUACUCUGAUAAAAUAUAUGAUUAAGCAUUGGGCAAGGGUUAUGCAAAUACCCUUGAGGAAUUGGUGUAGACCUUGGGCAAGACUUAUACAAACACUCCAUAUAGAAAGCUCAAUGGAUGUGUGCGUGGCCUUUCCAUUG
rnacentral:lncRNA from 1 species